GAUGAACGCUGGCGGCGUGCUUAACACAUGCAAGUCGAACGGACUUUUAUUGAAGCCUAGCGAUAUAAAAGUUAGUGGCGGACGGGUGAGUAACGCGUGGGUAACCUGCCCUUUGGAUGGGGACAACAUUCCGAAAGGAGUGCUAAUACCGAAUGUGACGAUUUUACCGCAUGGUUUAAUCGUGAAAGAUGGCCUCUACAUGUAAGCUAUCGCCAAAGGAUGGGCCUGCGUCUGAUUAGCUAGUUGGUGGGGUAACGGCUCACCAAGGCGACGAUCAGUAGCCGGUCUGAGAGGAUGAACGGCCACAUUGGGACUGAGACACGGCCCAGACUCCUACGGGAGGCAGCAGUGGGGGAUAUUGCACAAUGGGCGAAAGCCUGAUGCAGCAACGCCGCGUGAGGGAAGACGGUUUUCGGAUUGUAAACCUCUGUCUUUGGUGAAGAAGAAAGUGACGGUAGCCAAGGAGGAAGCCACGGCUAACUACGUG
rnacentral:rRNA from 1 species